rnacentral:rRNA from 1 species
UACGUAGGGUGCAAGCGUUAAUCGGAAUUACUGGGCGUAAAGCGUGCGCAGGCGGUUUUGUAAGACAGGGGUGAAAUCCCCGGGCUCAACCUGGGAACUGCAUUUGUGACUGCAUCGCUGGAGUGCGGCAGGGGGGGAUGGAAUUCCGCGUGUAGCAGUGAAAUGCGUAGAUAUGCGGAGGAACACCGCUGGCGAAGGCAAUCCCCUGGGCCUGCACUGACGCUCAUGCCCGAAAGCGUGGGGAGCAAACAGG